UACGUAGGGAGCAAGCGUUGUCCGGAAUCAUUGGGCGUAAAGCGCGCGUAGGUGGCUUCGUAAGUCCGUUGUGAAAGUCAAAGGCUCAACCUUUGAAAGCCGAUGGAUACUGUGAAGCUAGAGUACGGAAGAGGCGAGUGGAAUUCCUGGUGUAGCGGUGGAAUGCGCAGAUAUCAGGAGGAACACCAAUUGCGAAGGCAGCUCGCUGGGACGUUACUGACGCUGAGACGCGAAAGCGUGGGGAGCGAACAGG
rnacentral:rRNA from 1 species